GCGGGGGUCGCAGAGCUAGGUCAAAUGCGCGGGACUCAAGAUCCCGUCCCGAAGGGGUUCGUGGGUUCAAAUCCCACCCCCCGCA
rnacentral:tRNA from 1 species